CGCCAUCACGUGACUCUCUCCCCAGUGCGCCACAAUCUGAAGCGGGAAAAUGUUUGACACUAAAAAUUACAAGUUAGGAUGGAUAUGACAACCGAGGCAGGAACACCGCACCAGUUUGACCUGAAACUAAAAAAAUACCGGCGCCAAGGCCUGGAUUUGAAGUCCCCUCGACGAGUGUUUCAACUGUUGUGUACGACUAAAAAACAACUGAACUGAAAGUUCAUUCAUAUGUGGCUAUGUGAAUUACUGAGAGUCCGCUGAUGAGAAGAGCCUGACUGGGAGAACAUCAAGACAUCUUAAAUAAGUCAGAAGCUUUCCAACUGGUUUCCCUCUUUCCUCUGUAAAGUUUUUACUUCUAUGAAAGGUUGUAAUUACUAUGUCAACUGCAAUGUUAGAAAAAAUCUCAAGCUAAUUAUUUACUCUCUUGCUCAGACGGUAAGUAAGAAGAUAACUGGUAGAUAGCAACAUAAAAACAUUGUUGAUACCUACAUGUUGGGGGAAUCCCAGGUUACAGAGUAACUGUUGUUUUUAUUGGAGGAGGCCUAAAGGGGAUCGGCACAUGAUGUAGAAGUAGAGUAGACGCCCCAUGUACCAUGGCUGUCAGCCCUCAACAUAGUACUGACUCCCAAUCCUUCGCUGCAGGUCUUCCCCCCUUUUUCCUUCCCAUUUCCUGUCUGAUUCUGAAAAUCAAAGCCAGUAGUGCCACAAAAAAAACGUCUUAAAAACAUGACAGCAUGACAUAUUUAUGUUUUACUGUUUACAGUUAAUCAGUGUCUGUGAGUUUUUAUUAAAUAAUCCAUUGCUUACAGUUUUGUUGGGGUAUAUGGCAUGACAAGCUAAUUUUUGCUUAAUCUUUGAGCAUCAAGCUGGAAAAGGAUCCAUAUUCAUCUUGGCAUAUUUCACAGAAAGCAGAAUGGUAAGAGAAUUAAAAAAAUCAUCAGUCUGAUGUUUAAAAAUGGCCAAACUCUCUGUAACAUCGAUUAGAGACUAUCUGUAGUACCACCCUAAAGUGUUAACGGUAAUCUGUGCUGUGUACUCAGUUAUUUAGACAAUUGACUUGUUUUUAUUUUGUUUUAUUUAUUUUUUUUUUCAGUUGUUUGUCUUUGUUUCAUACUGGUUGUGACUGUAUAUAUCUCCUUAUACAGUAAUUUGUCAAAUAAAUAUAUGUUUUAUACGUUUGUGUACGAUUUCU